AGCGCAGGCGGGAAGGCAAGUUGGAAGUGAAAUCUAUGGGCUCAACCCAUAAACUGCUUUCAAAACUGUUUUUCUUGAGUAGUGCAGAGGUAGGCGGAAUUCCCGGUGUAGCGGUGGAAUGCGUAGAUAUCGGGAGGAACACCAGUGGCGAAGGCGGCCUACUGGGCACCAACUGACGCUGAGGCUCGAAAGCAGGGUAAGCAACG
rnacentral:rRNA from 1 species